GACGAACGCUGGCGGCGUGCUUAACACAUGCAAGUCGAACGGAAAGGCCCUGCUUGCCGGGUACUCGAGUGGCGAACGGGUGAGUAACACGUGGGUGAUCUGCCCUGCACUUCGGGAUAAGCCUGGGAAACUGGGUCUAAUACCGGCUAGGUGCCAUUUUUAGUGUGAUGGUUGGAAAGUUUUUUCGGUGUAGGAUGAGCUCGCGGCCUAUCAGCUUGUGGGUGGGGUAAUGGCUUACCAAGGCGGCGACGGGUAGCCGGCCUGGGAGGGUGGACGGCCACAUUGGGACUGAGAGACGGCCCAGACUCCUACGGGAGGCAGCAGUGGGGAAUAUUGCACAAUGGGCGCAAGCCUGAUGCAGCGACGCCGCGUGGGGGAUGACGGCCUUCGGGUUGUAAACUCCUUUCGCUAGGGACGAAGCUUUUUGUGACGGUACCUAGAUAAGAAGCACCGGCUAACUACGUG
rnacentral:rRNA from 1 species